rnacentral:misc_RNA from 1 species
AAGUCGUAACAAGGUUUCCGUAGGUGAACCUGCGGAAGGAUCAUUAACACAUCCUUUUCUCUAUAUACAUUGGUGAAUUGUCGGAACCAGCGGAAAUGGGAUCUGCUUCGGGUAAGGUUUGCGAUCUCUUCGGAGGUAUUACUCGAACGCUGCAGGACAUCCUUCGGGAUGAGUCUGAAAUGUAUCUCUCCGCCAACGGUAAUCAGUUUAACAAACCUAGCUGGCCCCCUUUUUUUUAACUUGAUUUUUGUACUGAUUUCGGCUUUCAGAUCGAGAAGGGCUCUCGGGCACUUUUCUCUGGGCCUUUGAUGGAGAAAUCCAUUAACAAACAACAACACAACUCUUAACAGCGGAUAUCUCGGUUCUC